rnacentral:lncRNA from 1 species
UGAAAAGUCACAUUUAAAUUUCAUAAAACUCACAAAAGUUGACAAAGGUUACAAAAUGAAGAGUCUAGUUCUAAUUAAAUGGUGUUAUGACUCCAUUAUUUGUCCUCAAGUUAUGGAGGACCAAGAGUCUCUUCAAUAAAUAAUAAACAAAAAAAAAGUGUAACCUUAAUUAAUUCCAUAAGUUAUAAAAUAAAGAAAAGUUAAUUCUUUUAUUAGUUUAAAGUCUUCCAUAACUUUUCCUCAAGUUAUGGAACUUAAAGAGUUUUUGGAUUAUAACUACUUUAAACACAUAAGUUAUGGAAUUAAUUAGUUUUGAAUAGUUUCAAAACUUGCCCUCAAGUUUUGGAAUUUGAAAAGUUUUCACUUAUGAAUACUUUAAUUCCAAGUUAGCCCUUAGAAUUUUAAAGAGUUAAAAUUCAACCCUUAUACUUUAUAAUAUUAUAAGUUAAUAAUAUAUAUAUGUAUAAGAGUAAAGUCAGUCUUACCGCUAGUACGCCUCAUUCACGAAGCCGGUCUAUAAGGUGGGUAUAAGGUUGUUGCCUAUAAAAUGGCAACUUAAUGGGUGUCCACUCUCACCCACCGCUUGCUUGACUGGUGGAGGGUCGUUAGCCGAACGGGUUUGACAGGACUAUAAUUCUCCCUUCAUUAAAAGUAUUAAUGAUAAAUACUAAGUAACUAAACUCUUAAUAAUACCCAAUCUUAGUUACUUAGGAAAAUGUGAAUAAGGUGCUAAUCCAUGAAAUUACACUUUGCACUUUGUUUAAGUCGGUUAGUGGAGCGUGUGUGGUUAACCGGCACACUAACUCGUAUUUAACAAGGUAGGCAAAGGGUAACUUAAUGUUUAUCAUAGUAUCGAUGGAGCGUGUGUGCUUAACCGGCACAUCGAUUGAGGGGUAAACACUUCAGGGUACCAAGUAAUUUUCAUGGUUACUUCACACCUUGUUUUGUGAUCCUCGGCAUCCCAGUCACAAAACCUGAAGGGCACACUCGAGAUUGAAACAUACCAUUGAAAAGUUCAAUGAAUCUCAAAAGAUUUAGGAGUUUCAAAUCCAAUUAAAACCUAAUAAAUUAUUUCAUUUAUCUUAGUGGAAAUUGGUGAAUUGUCAUUCACCUCCUGGCAAGGAAAUCAUACUUCAUUCACCUCCUCCAAUUAUUCUCCCUAACCCAUAAGUUCUUGAAAAGUUUAAGGUCACUCAAGCCCUAUUGGCAAGGCAAGGUCUAGGUGUGGUCACAUCUUGGAGAUGUAGUCACAUAUUGACAAGCUGGGAUAGUUAGGUGUCAAAGUCUUGAGAAAGUUGGUGGUUCAAUCACUUUCUAAGUCACAUAGUGAGUUCCUUUGGGACACCUAUGAAACAGACUAUGACAAGACCCUUUAUGAUCUUAUCUAUUUGUUAAGAUCAACUUCCUUAAAACUUGAUGGACGUUGACAAUAGUAACACAGGAAAUUCAGGAAAGCAUUAUCUUCCCAAUGGAAAGGGAUCGGCCAUAGUCAACUCGGUUGACCAAAUGGUAAAGAGAAAAGCUAAGUCUAUGAUAGUCCCGUGUACCGUUACCAAAGGGUCAAUAUGUUUAUAUUGCCAUAGGAAGGGGCAUUGGUUGCGAAGCUGCCAAAUUUACCUAGGGAUGUUAAAGUCCAUAAGUUUGACUCUACUUCAGGUACAGUCCACUAUCUAACCCUGUUAAGUUUCUAUUAUGAGAUUCUUGGUACAUGAUGUGGCUGGGUCACAUGGUGAUUUUUUAAGAAUCAAAGAAAAGUAAAGGAACUUAAAGAAAGAAUAUGCUGAAUCUGAUCGCGUAGAUGGAUUUCUAUCGCAUAGUUUGAAGAUCGGAUUCUUGAGCUACUUCUUAGGAGUUAUGAUAUUUUGCUUAGGAAUAGAUAACAACAAGUUUUCAUAUGGAUUGUAAGGAUAAGUUUUUGCACAAAGUUUUAAAAUAAAAGGAAAUUUUAGAUUUUGUUUAUUUUAAAAUAUCCUUACAAUGACAUUUGGUGAAAAUCUUUGUUGCUUAUAAGAUUUCAUUAAUAGCAAGAGUGGAAAUAUGAAAUUGAUUCUUUCAUUUGUGGUAAUGUCUAAAUUUACCAAAUAAGGAAAGAUUCUCAUCACCCAAGUUUGAAUUGGACCGGAACUUGGAAUGAUGCAAGCUGUAUAGCAUGAUGAAUGAGAACUUUCAAAUAUUAGAAAAAUUAAGACUAAUUACUCGGUCACAUGGAUGUGUGAGUCAAGUAAAGGACUAAGGAAUUGAGUACACAUUCUUGUGCACUGAUUAAGUCCACCACAAAAGAUUGAUAAGACUAGUCGUCAUAGUUUACUAAAUCUCAGUAAAUAUGAUUAUACUUACAAGCUUAAGUGUAACUCUGAGACAUUGGAAAAGGCUCCAAUGUAUGGUAGAGCGAAUAAGAAGAAUCAAAUCAGGCAGAAGGAUAAAAGUUGCUCAAAUCUGAAAAGAUGGGAGAGUACUUUAGUAUCAGCUUUUAUGAUCAUCUUAAUGAUUUAGAGACCUUAUCACAAUUCAUCCUCUAAGUGCUUUCUUAUAGCUAAGAAGAGGAACUAUGAAUUGUUGAAGUGGUUAAAUCAAGAAGAUGAUUCAUACUUCGUUCCAAAAACAAUUCUUAGAGUCAUACUCCAAGAUUGUAACUUGAGUGACAUGUCUUAAAGAAGGUUUAAAACACUUGUCAAAUGUAAGAGUAAAAGUUUUCUACUCUUGUACAUUUGAAAUUGGUAAGUUGUGAUGUUUUGGAUAAAACAAAGACCAACUUAGGCCAAUUGGGUAAAGUGUUUUUCUUGAUUAGAAUCCGCACUAUCCCUUGAAUAUUUGACAUGAAAGUCUUAUAGGUCAAGAGGACAGUGGGAGUCUUAAAGGUCUUGAAAGUCUCAAGAACUAAUCAAGAAUAAAACCUGAAGUUCUUCACUAGCACACGACUUGAGGUUUAUAACCUAUCGUGUUGACAUAUUUGUGCCCAUUCCAGUUAAAGUUGGCUUUGCAUAUGAGUUCUUAGAGUUCUCAAUUUGUUGCACAACAACUUGGAAGCAAUGGCAGGCCCUUGAGCUGCCAGGUGGCAAGAAAUUAAGAUUGAGUUCAGUCCAUAUGAGUUUGGAUUUGUCAUUAUCCUUGUCUUGUGACUAUGGUUUUGACAAUUCACAUGGAUAAGAACACAUACACCAUUAAAUCUAAGUGUCAUAAGGUUUCUCUCCGAUUCAUGAAAAUGAUGGUGAGGAAACACUUUCACUAAGUAGAUUUUAGCUAGAUAGCAAUUGUGAUAUUUGCAUUCUCAAAGUCGUUAGUGGAGCGCGUGUGGUUAACCGGCACACUAAUUUGGACUUGUGAGAAGUGGCAAAAAGGUCUAAACAUUAUGAUUACGGCAUCCCUCUUCAUAAUUGUUUAGAUACACAAGUGUGCUAUCUAAGGGAAGGUGUAUGAUUUUGAUAAAGUUUUAUCAAAACAAUCUAGUAUCAGAAAUCUGAACUUUGGUAAGAAAGUCAAUGAAGUAUUGAUUUCUAGAAGUCCAGCUGAUUUCUGAGUACAUGUCAAAGCUAGUGGGAGCAUAAGUGUUAUGCUAAUAAUCAUCAUGUUAGUGGGAGCAUGAUAAUUAUGAUAAGUAUUGCAAGUUAGCAAUGUUAAUUAUAGAAAACAAAAGUUUCAAUUGGGAAAAAGUUGUUUUGCUAUAAUUAAGGGAGAGGAAAUUAUACUUCAUCUCAAAUCUAUAAGCUUAGAUCGUGAGGUUUUAAUCAUUUAGUCAAGGAUAUAUAUGAAUUUCAUGUUGGAAUGGCUCAACAUAAGGAAAUUCUGUAUAUGGGUCCAUUAUUUGCGUUCUAAAAUUCGAUUAUGAUUACGGCAUCCCUUUUCAUAAUCUGAAUUAUGAGAACUUGGCAAAUUGAAAUGGAAAUAUUAUAGCAAAAGACUGGUUUAGUCUUUAUGUGAGACAUCAUGAAUCGUGUCCCAUAUGCUUCGGAUAUAGGAUCGAUUACAUGUGCUAUAUUCAUCCGUUCUAAAAUUUUCCAAAUGCCUGGGGCAUUAAGAAGGGAAAAGGUUUAGAACUGGAUAUGACUAAAAGGAUUAAACAAUUGUCGAGGACAAUCUAAGGUUUACCAAAGAUUGGUUGCUCAAGGACAGUUGGAAGUAUAGUGAUAAUUCUGGAAGGACCAUAUUGACAUAAUCUGUAAGGAGGCAACUCUUGUUCAGAAGUGAUAGUCAAAAUGGAAUCUGGAAAUGUUUCAAAGUUAGAAUUUUCAAUCUGUUUAAGAUUAGGAAACUUAAUGCAAGAAGGAUGUUUCCAAGGAGCUGAUCUCCUUUGGAAUACUCUGUAAUGAUUGUUGUCAAGUCUUUCUGACUUUGUGCAUAAUCAUUACAAGAGGAUCAAUGCAUAUAAGUUUAGAAUCUAACAGAUUUCAGUAAAUGGCAUGAAUUUGGAAUUCUUGCAUUUGCAGUAAGGAUUUGGGAGUGUGAAAAGAGAAUCAUUGAAGUUAUGUUCAAUUGAUCUAGUUCACAAAGUAAAGAUCAUAGACAAACAUAGUAUGCAUACUUGGUGUGUGGCAUGACUAGUGUUUAAGAAAACAUAGUGUACAUGCUUGGAGCAUGGGACAACUAUUGUUUUAAAUUCAAGAAUAAAGUUGAUAGCUGAAACAGUAUACAAUGAAUAAUGUGUAAUCAUAUGGUGAUAAAUAAAAGGUGUUUUAUUUAUGUUCAAAGGGUUGAUACCAUAUUGGAUUCAAUUAUUAUUGUGUUUCACUUUGCAUGUUUUGACUUCCCGAAUAAACUAGGUUAUUCUUCCGGAAUGACUAAGUUAUUCAAACCAUCCACAGUCGGUCAUAUGUUGGAAGUAGAUAUGAAUUAAGACUGUCAUGGGUUGGCUUGUAGAGGUCUAAGGUGUUGGACAAAGGGCUACAACACUCAUGAGUGCUCAUAAGUUCUGAGUAUUGGAUUCAACCCGCGCUCAUUGGAAUCACUUCAUGGAUUUUAUCACGAGUGAUCAUGAGACGAUAAUAUCUUAUAUUCUUCAAACCUAGAGAUAUGAGUUGUUACUAUGAGUUGAUAGUACAUUGAUUGCACGAAAACGCAUUUGGUAACUCGGUGCUAUAAAACGUGCCUUUGUGUAUGAUUCAACAAGUAGUAGAACAAGCCAUAUGAGUCGAAGUUUAUCCAUUCCUUUUACCUUCGGGAUAAAAGCGAUAUCUGUGGGCCCCUCGAUGAUUUGAUGAUGACAAAUGGAAGUGCUCGGCCGGGCCAGGACUGAUUUGAUUUGUUCAAUUAGUCAGUCGUCAUAAAUCGGAAAUCGGGAAACAACAAAUGGACAGAGAGAAUGAUUAUAAUCCAUGUCUCAGUCCAUAUGAUAUCUAGAAUGGAGGAAUAUAUGAUCCCUUAUCUAAUGGACAAGUCAUUGACAAAGGUCAGAGUUCAUCGACAAGGUCAGAGUUCGACAGAAGCUUUUGAGAGCUACGAUUGCCAGUUGGUUCCUGAAGUCAUACGCAAUAAUAGUUUUAGACUUAUCCAAGUGGGAGACUGUUGGAUUAAUGUCUAAGUCCAUAACUAUAAUUGGUAAGACUUGACCCGACCCGGCAUGGUCCAUUUGGGUUGCAUGCCAUCAUGCACUUGGAUAGACUAUAAUGAGAGAAAUAAGACACUUAUGGUUAUUAAUAUAUUAUAAGUUCUAGUAUAUUAAUAAUAAGAAUAAUAAGAUUAUUUAAUUAGUAUUGAUCAAGAAUUAAUCUAGGAUUAAUUAAGUGAUCAAAAGAAGACUAAUUAAAUAUAUGGGUUGAUUGUGUAAAUCAUCCAUACUUGUAUAGUGGGCUAAUGCUCCAUGGAUAAUCAAGUUGGGCUAAAACCCAUAGGAUGGUCCAUGGAUGCUCCAUGGUGUAUUUGAACCCAUGGAUCCAAGGAAAUGGAAAGUCAUGACAAUUAGGGUUUACCCUAAUUGUAACACUAUAUAAAGAUCUUAUUCUUGACAAAAUCGGCGACUAGUAUCAUUCUUGAGAGGGAUAGCCGAUUUCAUGAAGUGUAGAUUUCUCUCAAGUUAUUCCAAGUGUAUUUGGUGUUGUCUGAACCAUUUGAGGUGUCCCACUUAGGGCACUAGGCACUCAAGCUUCAUGAAGACUUUCUACAUCAAAGAGGUAUGUAUUCUAUCUUGUUACAGUCAUUGUUUUGUAUGCUAGAUUAGGAUAACACCUUGGAAGUUCUUAUUUGCAUGUAUAAUAGAGAAAACAUAGAUCCAAGGUAUUUAGGGUUUCAUGUACACUUAGGAGUGUUAGAAUGCUCAAAACCCAACACAAACUUCCUUCUCUUUUGGUGUAUUCAUCUGAAAGAAGGAUCAAUAUUAAGUUUGUGAUUGAUAAUACUCUUAUUUAUACUUGUCAUAUCUUCAUGUUUCCAUGUGAACGUCUUGCUUCUGGUUUCAAGGAAGUUUAACAGGUCUUGCUCAAUUUGCUCAAGUAUUAAGGACCCUAUGAGGACUUUGGCUUUAGGAUACUCAAUGUUCAUGGGCACUUCCUUGACGUCUUGCUCCUUCGUUUCUAGAACAAGUCGUGCCCCGUGCCUUAAUAGCUAUACUUAUAGGGGGUUUGGUCAUAGGCUUCAUUGAGAUUUUAUAACAUUCCUUUGACUCUUGUUGAUCUCCCAUGAUCUUCACUGUUCCCCAAGAGUACGAUGUUGACCGAGGAUCCUCCGUCAACAAGGAUCCUUCUGACGAAGUGGUUGACCAUGUAUAGUGUUUUCACGAGUCCGUCAUGGUGAGGAUAAUAGAUCCCUUCCUUGUCUGUCUCGUCAAACGUGAUUUCCUUUUCAUUACUAACCACGAUAUUCUUUCGUGGUCUAUCUGAAGGGUUUUGAGCAUUCUAACACUUCCUAAGUGUACAUGCAACCCUAAUAACCUUGGAUCUAUGUUUGUCUAAUUUGUCAUGCAAAGUUGAUUUCCAAGGUUAUAUUCCUAUCUAGCAUACAUGGGGAACAAUUUAAACAUAAAUUAUAGAUAGAAUAACUUACCUUGUUGUUGCUUGUGUUCUUUGAAACCUUGUGAGCCUAGCACCUCAAGUGGUGAUGCCUCAAAUGCUUCACACAACACCAAAUGCUAUUGGAAGAACUUAUGAGAGAAUACACACUCUUCAAAAUCGGCCAAGCCCCCUUAUUACUUAGUGUGUAACCGAUUUGGGAGGAGAUCAUAUUCCUUAUAUAGUGUUGACACAUCUAGGGUUAAACCCUAAUGUGUCAUGACUCUUCAUUUCCAUGACCCAUGGGUUUGUAACUCCCAUGGAGCAUCCAUGGAGCAUCCUAUGGGUGGAACCCAACUUGAUGAUCCAUGGAGCCUUUUAGCCCACUAUACAAGAUAUGGAUGAUUUACUUAAUCAACCCAUAUAUUUAAUUAGUUAUCUUUUGAUCACUUAAUUAAUUCUAAAUUAAUUCUUGAUCAAACUAAUCAAAUAAUAUUAUUAUUAAUAUAUUAGAACUUAUAAUAUAUUAAUAAUCUCCAAGCGUUAUUUCUCUCAUUUAGUUUAUCCAAUUGCAUGGUGCCAUGCAACCCAAAUGGACCAUGCCGGGUCGGGUCAAGUACAUACCAGAAAUAGUUAUGGACUUAGACACCUUAUCCAACAGUCUCCCACUUGGAUAAGUCUAGUAACUAUUACUGCAAGUAUGACUUCAGGAACCGAUCGGCAAUCGUAGCUCUUUACAAGGUUUCUCGAAACUUGAGAAGAUGAUGGUACGCCAUUUAAGAUAAGUGAUCAUAUAAUCCUCUGUUCUAGAUAUCAGUCGGACAAAUACAUGGAACAAUGUCUUACUUAUUGUCCAACAUUUGUUUCCCGAUUUCCGAUUUGUUUGACAAAGAACUUUAUUGAACACAUCAAUCUAGUUCUGACCGGGCCCGGUACAUAGGUCAAAACAAAAUCAUCGAGGGGCCCAGAUAUCAGCUUCUAAUCCAAGAAGGAACAGAUAAACUUCGACUCAUAUGUUUGUUCUACUACUCAUUGAAUUACACAUAAGAGCACGAUUUUAUAACAUCGAGUUACCAAUGCGUUUUUCGUACAAUUAAUGCAUAACCAACUCGUAAGUAACAAAUCAUAUCUCUAGGUUUAAAGACUUAUAUGAUAUUACCGUCUCACGAUCACUCGAGAUAGAAUUCCAUGAAGUGAUUCCAGUGAGCGUGGGUUGAGUCCAAUGCUCAGAACUUAUGAGCACUCAUGAUUGUUGUAGCCUUGUCCCAGACCUCUACAACCAAACAUGACAGUCUUGAUUCAUACCUACUUCCGACAUAUGACCGACUGUGGAGGUUUGAAUAAUAUGUUAUACCAAACAAAAUUAUUCUGGAAGUCAAAACAUGCAAAAGAAAUAUAGUAAACGAUCGACAAGAGAUAGCAACACUUUACUCAUAAAUAAAACACUUUUUAUUCAUCAUCUAAUGUCAAUUACACUUUACAAAUUUCAGGGUUAUCUAACUACUAAAUCUAAUAUCAUCCUUCAGCCCUAUGCUCCGAGCAUGCUGGAGAUGCUUAACCCGAGUCAGUCCCUUCGUGAGGGGAUCUGCUGGGUUCUCAUCCGAUGAUACCCUCUUUGCCACGAGGAGUCCUUCUUCGAUCCGAUGUCUGAUGAAAUGGUAUUUUCUGUCGAUGUGUCUGGAUCUCCCGUGAUCCCUUGGUUCCUUGGCUAAGGCAACAGCACUUUCACUAUCACAGAAAAUUUCCAUUGGCUCUUUAAUAGCUGGUACAACUCCAAGGUCUCCAAUGAAGUUCCUCAGCCAUAACGCCUCCUUUGCCGCUUCGCUAGCUGCAAUAUACUCUGAUUCACAAGUAGAAUCUGCCACUGUCUCUUGCUUGGAACUCUUCCAAGAAAUUGCUCCUCCGUUUAGGGUAAAGACCCAGCCCGACUGAGAGCGGAAAUUAUCCCUAUCAGUCUGGAAGCUAGCAUCACUAUACCCUACAACUCUCAAGUCAUCACUCCCACCGAGGGUAAGGACCCAGUCCUUAGUCCUCCGUAGGUACUUGAGGAUAUUCUUUACCGCAGUCCAGUGUGCCUUGCCAGGGUUCGCCUGAUACCUGCUAACCAUGCUCAAGGCAAAAGCUACAUCGGGUCGAGUACACGUCAUAGCAUACAUGAUCGAUCCUACAGCCGAAGCAUAAGGUGUUCGACUCAUUUCUGCUAUCUCAGCCUCAGUGCUAGGGCUUUGUGUCUUACUCAAUCUGGUGUUACUCUGGAUGGGUAACUCUCCUUUCUUGGAAUCCUGCAUGCUGAAUCUCUUCAGCACCUUAUCCAAGUAGGUACUCUGACUAAGUCCAAUUAGUCUUUUACUCCGAUCUCUCAAGAUUCUUAUCCCUAGAAUAUAGGCAGCUUCACCAAGGUCCUUCAUAGCGAAACACUUCCCAAGCCAGGACUUUACUUCCUGCAGGGUUGGAAUGUCGUUUCCUAUGAGUAGUAUGUCAUCCACAUACAAUACCAAAAAGCUAACUAUACUCCCACUAGCCUUGACAUACACACAAGAUUCAUCUUCACUCCUAGAAAAGCCAAAUUCCUUGACCUUUUCAUCAAAGCAAAGAUUCCAUCUGCGAGGUGCUUGCUUCAAUCCAUAAAUGGAUUUCUCAAGCUUACACACUCUAUUAGGGUACUCGUUGCUGACAAAACCCUCUGGCUGACUCAUGUAAACAUCUUCAGCCAACUUUCCAUUAAGGAAAGCGGUUUUGACAUCCAUCUGCCAUAUUUCAUAGUCAUGAAAUGCAGCUAUGGCUAACAGAACCCGAAUAGACUUAAUCUUGGCUACCGGAGAAAAGGUCUCAUCAUAAUCCACUCCAGGAAUUUGAGAGAAGCCCUUUGCAACCAGUCUAGCCUUAUAAGUGUGUACUUUACCAUCCAUGUCGGUCUUCUUCUUGAAGACCCAUUUGCACCCUACUGUCUUACGACCUGGUACAUUUUCAACCAAGUUCCAAACUUGAUUGUCAUACAUGGAUUGUAUCUCGCUAUCCAUAGCCUCUUUCCAUUUAGCAGACUCGGGGCCUGCCAUGGCUUCCUCGUAGCUGUUAGGGUCAUCUUGACUUACUAGUGUCUCAUCACUAAUAAGUGUCUCACCUUCUGCAGUAAUAUGGAAUCCAUAGUAAUGCUCAGGUGCACUCCUAACUCUCGUGGAACGUCUCAGAGGUACAGAUUUGUCAAUUGGCUCAACAGGAGUUUCCUCCUCAAGUUGAGGGCUAGAGUUUGAAGUUCCUUCACCGCUUGAUUCUUGAAUUUCUUCAAGAUCAAUUUGCCUCCCACUGUCUCCUUGGCUUAUAAACUCUCUUUCUCGAAAGACUCCUCUUCUUGCUACAAAGACCACAUUGUCACUAGGUCUGUAGAAGAGGUAACCAAAGGAUCGCUGUGGGUAACCGAUGAAAAUACACCUCUCGCUUCGAGGUUCGAGCUUAUCAUGAGUCUCGCGUCUCACGAAAGCCUCGCAACCCCAAAUCUUGAUGUGGUCUAGUUUAGGUACUUUACCAGUCCACAUCUCGUGAGGAGUUUUGGCAACUUUCUUUGUAGGGACUAGAUUAAGAAUAUGGGCGGCAGUCUCUAAGGCAUACCCCCAGAAUGAGAUUGGUAGCGUAGCUCGACUCAUCAUGGAACGAACCAUAUCUAACAAGGUUCGAUUACGCCUCUCAGCCACACCAUUCAACUGUGGUGUCCUGGGAGGUGUCAAUUGUGAGACUAUCCCACAUUCCCUUAGAUAGUCGAGGAACUCUGAACUAAGAUACUCACCACCACGAUCGGAUCGAAGCAUCUUAAUGUUCCUGCCCAAUUGAUUCUCGACUUCCUGUUUAAAUUCCUUAAACCUCUCGAAAGUCUCUGACUUAUGCUUGAUCAAGUAGACAUAUCCAUAUCUACUAUAAUCAUCAGUAAAAGUCAAAUAAUAACGAUUAGCAUCCCUUGUGGCAUGUUUGAAUGGUCCACACACAUCCGUGUGUAUAAGGUCCAACAAACCUUCACCCCUCUCACACGAACCUGUGAAGGGUGACUUUGUCAUUUUUCCAAGUAAGCAUGAUUCGCAACUAUCAUCUGACUUUAGGUCAAACGACUCCAAGACUCCAUCCUUUUGGAGUUGGCCUAUGCGUUUCUUGCUUAUAUGUCCAAGACGACAAUGCCAUAAAGAUGCUUUAUCCAAGUUAUUAUUAGUAGAAUCAAUACACAAAACAUUAUUUCCCAAGUUAUCUACAACAGAUACAGCUUCAUACACACCAUCACAAGGUAAUGCUUUAAAAUAAAAGACAUUAUUAUAGAAAACAUCUAUAGAACCAACUUCAUUAUUAAAUGAAAAGGUAAACCCUUGUUUGUACAAAGCAUGAAAGGAAAUAAUAUUUCUUGCCAUUCCUGGCGAAUAACAACACUUAUUCAAAUCUAAACUAAACCCACUACUUAGCGAUAAAGUAUAAACUCCAAUCUUGGUAACAGGUAUAGCUUUCCUAUUCCCCAUGAUCAAGUUUAUCCUUCCUUGCUCCACAUCCUCACUUCUUCUUAGUCCCUGCAAGUCACAACAAAUGUGAAUACCACACCCGGUAUCAAGGACCCAAGAAUUAGAAUGGGGUGAGUUAUUAGAAAUGAUAGUGUAAAUACCUGCAUGGUUGGGUUUAACUUUCCCAUCCUUCACAUCUUGCUGGUAUUUUGGGCAGUUCCGCUUCCAAUGAGCUUUUUCAUGGCAAUAGAAGCAUUCAGCCUCUUUUGGGUCAGAAGAAGGAGUAACGAAACCUUUCUUGGUUCCACUUGAAGAAGAGCCAUCAAGGGUCCGAGCCUUGGUACCCUUAGAAGAGCUCUUUCUCUUCCUCCCUCGACUUUUCCCGAUUGCCAAAACCGGAGUAGAGUUUUGAGUAGGAGUGAUAGCAACCGACUUCCCCUUAAGACCUGUUUCUGCGGUCUUGAGAAGUCCCUGAAGUUUGCUGAGGGUGACUUCUUCCUUGUUCAUGUGAUAUGUCAUGCGGAAUUGAUCAUAGCACGAUGGUAAGGAAUGCAAAAUAAUAUCUAUUGCAAGAUCCUCCGGGAAGUUCACAUUAAGCUUCAGCAAACGAUCCACAUACCUUUGCAUUUUCUGCAUGUGGCUCGUGACGGAUUCCCCGUCCUUCAUCAUGGUUGUUAUCAUGGAGCAGAUGAUUUCAUACCUCUCUUGUCUUGCACUUUGAUGGUAUCUUUCCAUCAAAUCUUGGUGCAUGUCAUAAGGGUAGAAAUCCUCAUAAGACUUUUGGAGUUCCGCUGUCAUCGUGGCCAUCAUGAUGCAAGCCACUUUCGUAGCAUCCCUUUCAUGUGCCCGAAAUUCAGCGAUCUCCUGAGGAGUUGCAGUGGACUCAUCAAUCUCCUUAAGCUCCUUGUCAAGGACAUAUUCUUUGUCCUCGUAGCGGGUAAUCAUCCUGAUGUUUCUGAUCCACUCAUUGAAGUUGGAUCCAUCAAAGGUGACUUUCCCACACAAGUUCAUAAGGGUAAAGGAGCCAUUAGGAUUAGAGCCAGAAGCAUUGUUGAAAGACAUCUGAAGGAAAGAGGACAAGAUUAGUUUAGAUAUAAGAGAGUCCUUAAUAAAACACCCAAAUGUAAUAUUAAGGCUAGGAUCCAAUCACAAUAUAAUAUAACUUAGAAGAGGUAUGCCGUAAUCUAAGCUAUAUCAUAUUUGAAAGGUAGGUGAAUGACGAUUCACCAAUUUCCACCACGAAAACCGCAAUAUUUUAGUAUUAGGUUUUUGAAUGGUUCUUAGAAAUUCCUAGAUUCUUUGAGAUUCAAUGAACUUUUCAAAGGCAUGUUUCAAUCUCGAGUGUGCCCUCCAAGUUUUGUGACUGGGAUACCGAGGAUCACAAAACGAGGUGUGAAGUAACCAUGCAAAUCACUUGGUACCCUUAAAGUUUAUCACUCAAUCGAUGUGCCGGUUAACCACACACGCUCCAUCGAUACUAUAAUAAACCCUAAGUCACCCUUUACCUACCUUGUUAAGUCCAAGUUAGUGUGCCGGUUAACCACACACGCUCCACCAACGACUUAAUCAAAGUGUAAAGUGUAAUUUCAUGGAAUAGCACCUUAUUCACAUUUUUCCUAAAGUAACUAAGAUUGGGAAUUUAAUAAAACAUUUAGUUACUUUAUAAUAUUCAUCAUACUUUGAAUGAGAAUUAAUAAGUCCUUGUCUUACCCGUUCGGCUAACGACCCUCCACCGAUCAAGCAAGCGGUGGGUGAGAGUGGACACCCAUUAAGUCACCAUUUUAUAGGCAACAACCUUAUACCCACCUUAUAGACCGGCUUCGUGAAUGAGGCGUACUAGCGGUAAGACGACUUUGUUCUUAUACAUAUAUAUAUAAUUAUUAAAUCAUAAUAAUAUAAGUAUAAGGGUUGAAUUUUAACUUUUAAAAUUCUAGGGGUUGGAACUAAAGUUUUAACUUAACUUUACUUGUUCCAAAACUUGAGGGCAAGUUUUGUAAACUUUCAAAACUUUUCAUUUCUUGUAACUUAUGAGUUUAAUAGAGUAAUAAAAUGAGGACUUUUCAUUUUUCCUAACUCUUGUGUUCUUUUAAUGGUUUUUAAUCCAAGAGACUUUUGGUUUUCCAUAACUUGAGGACAAGUUAUGGACUCCAUUAAAACACAUUAUGAUCAUGAAUUAAUCUACCACAUAGGUUACAAAUAAUUCCUAUGAUCAUCUAAACAUCAUAAGAACAAGAAUAUGAAUAUGAACACUUUCAAGAAUCAAAAUCACAUUUAAUCUUUGUAAUUUUGAUAACUAGUUGUUGUAAAUGAGUUAGAAAAGACAUUACACCUUCUAAAAUAAGUUUUCAAGUACCAAAACAUUUUAGGGUAAUGAUUCUAAUCCAUUUCCAGCAACUCAAGUCGAAAUUCUGCACUCUGUCGACCCUACUCGCCGAGUGCAUAAACCUACUCGCCGAGUAGGUUGAAGAUACACAUGAACUCGACGAGUCCUCCCCAUGGACUCGCCGAGUCCAUCAGUCAGACAGCAGAAUUUUCGACUUUCUUCAACUUUUAAGCACAAAUAACAAACAAACAAGCCUAGGCUCUGAUACCACUGAUGGGUUUUGAGCAUUCUAACACUUCCUAAGUGUACAUGCAACCCUAAUAACCUUGGAUCUAUGUUUGUCUAAUUAUCAUGCAAAGUUGAAUUCCAAGGUUAUAUUCCUAUCUAGCAUACAUGGGGAACAAUUUUAACUUGAAUCAUAGAUAGAAUAACUUACCUUGUUGUUGCUUGUGUUCCUUGAAACCUUGUGAGCCUAGCACCCCAAGUGUGAUGCCUCAAAUGCUUCACACAACACCAAAUGCUCUUGGAAAGACUCUUGAGAUAACACACACUUCUCAAAAUCGGCCAAGCCCUCUAGUUUCUUAGUGUUCAACUUGUGUAGCCAAUUUUGUGGAGAAUGGGACUCUUAUAUAGUGUUGGCACAUCUAGGGUUACACCAUGUAAACCCUAAUGUGUCAUGACUCUUCAUUUCCAUGACCCAUGGGUUUGUAACUCCCAUGGAGCAUCCAUGGAGCAUCCUAUGGGUGGAACCCAACUUGAUGAUCCAUGGAGCCUUUUAGCCCACUAUACAAGAUAUGGAUGAUUUACUUAAUCAACCCAUAUAUUUAAUUAGUUAUCUUUUGAUCACUUAAUUAAUUCUAAAUUAAUUCUUGAUCAAACUAAUCAAAUAAUAUUAUUAUUAAUAUAUUAGAACUUAUAAUAUAUUAAUAAUCUCCAAGCGUUAUUUCUCUCAUUUAGUUUAUCCAAUUGCAUGGUGCCAUGCAACCCAAAUGGACCAUGCCGGGUCGGGUCAAGUACAUACCAGAAAUAGUUAUGGACUUAGACACCUUAUCCAACACUAUCAUCAUUUUAUGUUUUAGAGACCUUGGUGUGUCUUUUAGCCUAAGAGUAAGAAGUACCACAAAUGUUAGAUCCGCCUUAGAUAACGUUAAUUAUAUUGGCUUUUGGGAGUGGAGAUCCUGGUUUUUCUAGGAUCUUGUGACUAUCUUGGUUGUUCUCCUUGGACUUUUCUUUCGUUCUCACGAGGAUUUCAUUGAGAUGCCCCUUGCUAAGGAAGUAGCUGAUCUCCUUUCUUAGUGCUAUACAAUCCUCUGUCAUGUGACCAAAAUCUUUGUGGUAAUCACACCAUUUGGACUUGUCUUUCCAUCUGGUGGACUUGUUAUCCUUUUUUGGUCACAUUGCUUUGUCUCUAAAAUUCUGCAUAGCAUGGAUUCAACAUGAAACAUCCACAGAAAAACAAUAGUCAGUGAUCUUAGGAAGUUCCUCUUCCUCUCCUUCAUCUUCAAGAGCAUUAACACUAUGAUGAUCCAGUUUGGAAUAAGGCUUUAAUUUUUUGGAUCUAGGGGCCGAGGAUUCGGCCUUCCUAUUGGGAUUCUCGUAUUGACUUGAAGGGUUGCUCCUCUUCUGGUUUUCUUUAUCCUCUUCAAGCCCUAUGAACGUCAAUGCUUGACAACAAACUUCAUCCAAUCUCUUGCACGGCGUCAUCACAAGAUCUUCAUAGGAGGGCGAAUCCUUCCUUAGACCCAUCUUGAAGGCCUCUACAACAGUCACCAUGUCAAUGUUGGGGAUGCUUAGAGCUGAUGGGUUUUAGCCAUAUGAACAUCCUUAUGUACACAUGCAACCCUAAUGCUUGGAUCUAGGUUUCUCUAAUUGAACAUACAUUGAAUCCAAGACUUUUAAUGACUAAUAGACUAUAAUAACAAUAUGAAAUCAGAGAUUAGAAGUUUACCUUGAAUUACUUGCUUGAUCUUCUUGUCCUUGAGGCUUUAGAGUCAGAAUUGUCACUCCUCUAAUGGCUUACAAACACCAAAUAGCAAGAAGAUGAUUUAGGAGAGAGGAAAGGGGAGGAGGAAUUCGACCAGGGUUUCUUUAGAGACAAGUGUGUCGAAUUCCCUUAACCCAUAGGGUCUAUUUAUACUAGUAAGGCUCCUAGGGUUUCACCCUUAAACCCUAAUUGGAUAACUUAAGCCCUAAGCAAUCCAAAUCCUUUCCAUGAUAAGCCUUGGACGAAAUCUAAGCCUAUCCAAAGCCCUAGACUUCGUCCCCCCUUAUCCUUAAAGGAUUUACAGCCCAAAGUCAAACUAUGAAACAAUUGACAGUUUAUACCCCUUUAUUUAAUUAAUCUCUUUAAGUCACCAAAUUAAUUCCAAAUUAAUUUAUGACUUAUAUUAAUCAAAUAAAAAUAUUAUUAUUCCUUAUAUUAUUGUUAUAAUAUAUUAAUAAUAUUCCUUCUCUCAUUAUAAAUCAUCCUGUCAAGUUGCUAUGGUGAAGGCAACCCAAAAGGACCAUGCUCAACCGGGUCAAAUACUUGCCUUAUAUAGUUGCAGCCUUAGACACUAUUCCAACAGUCUCCCACUUGGAUAAGUCUAGUAACUAUAUACAAGUAUAUUCCGAUUAGCAAUCGUAGCUCUCAAAGACGCUGUCAAACUCUGAUCUAAUCAAUCUUGUCCUUCAGAUAAGGGAUCGUACAGUCCUCUGUUUAGAUAUCAUGCUGACAAUUCUAUGGAACAAUUUGUCUAGCAUUUGGUUUCUCGAUCUCCGAUUUAUUUGACAUAGAACUUAAUCGAACACAUCAAUUCAGUUCUGACCGGGCCCGACACAUAAGUCAAAUCAAAUCAUCGAGCGGCCGAGAUAUCGCUUUUACCCUCUUGGGAUAAAAGUAACAGAUAAACUUCGACUUAUAUGCAUUUACUUAUUCAUUAAUCAACUAUACACAACAAUGCGUUUUAUAACAUCGAGUUACUGAUGCGGUUUCGCAUUAUCAAUGUACAACCAAUUAACAAAUAACAAACCAUAUAUCUAGGUUUUAAGACUAUAUGAUAUUAUCGUCGUGCGAUCACCCAUUUUUAUCAUAUUCCAUAAGGUGAUUCCAGCAAGCGCGGGUUCGUUCCAAUGCUCAAAACUAGUUCAUAAGCACUCAUGAACGUUGCAGCAAUCCUUUGCUAUGUCUAACACCAUUUAGACAUUCUACACACCAAUUCAUGACAAUCUUCAUUCAUAUCUACUCCCAACAUAUGAACGAUUGUGGACCAUUUGAACAAUUCGAUUAUUCCUAAUAAACUCAAUUAUUCUGGAAGUCAAAACAUGCAAAGUGAAACAAUAGCUAAACAAUUAACAUAAGAUAGUAACAUUACUCAUAAAUAAAACUCCUUUAUUUAAUCAUCAAAUGUUAAUUACAUUUAUCUAUUACACGUUUCUAAUACUAUCUAAUCUAUGCUAAUAUCAUCCUUCAUCCCAAUACUCCUAGCAUGCUGCAAGUGCUUAACCCUACUCAGUCCCUUCGUAAGCGGAUACGCUGGGUUAUCUCCUGAUGAUAUCCUCUUCACUACGAGUUGUGCUUCUUCUACAUGAUGUCUAAUAAAAUGAUAUUUUCUGUCGAUAUGCCAAGAUCUAGCAUGAUCCCUCAGUUCCUUGGUCAAGGCAACCGCUCCUUCAUUAUCAUAGAAAAUCUCCAUGGGCUCCUUUAUGGUAGGUACAACUCCAAGAUCACCGAUGAAGUUCUUUAGCCAUAUUGCCUCCUUCGACGCUUCGCUCGCUGCAAUGUACUCUGAUUCGCACGUUGAAUCAGCUACAGUUUCCUGCUUGGAACUCUUCCAAGUCACUGCUCCUCCAUUUAGGGUAAAGACCCAGCCCGACUGCGAACGGUAGUUGUCCCUGUCGGUCUGAAAACUGGCGUCACUAUACCCUCGCACCUUCAAGUCAUCACUCCCUCCGAGGACUAAGAACCAUUCCUUCGUCCUCCGAAGGUACUUAAGGAUAUUCUUCACCGCAAUCCAAUGUGCUUUGCCAGGAUUCCCUUGAUAUCUGCUAACCAUGCUCAAAGCGAAGGCUACAUCAGGGCGAGUACAAGUCAUAGCGUACAUGAUUGAGCCAACUGCGGAAGCGUAUGGUACUCGGCUCAUUUCUGCUAUCUCAGCUUCGGUACUCGGACUUUGAGUCUUACUCAACUUGGCAUUACUUUGUAUCGGUAAUUCUCCCUUCUUUGAGUUUUCCAUACUAAAACGUUUUAGUACCUUCUCUAAGUAAGUGUUCUGACUAAGUCCAAUUAGUCUCUUACUUCUUUCUCUUACUAUCCUUAUUCCCAAAAUGUAAGAAACCACUUCGAGGUCCUUCAUAGCGAAGCACUUCCCGAGCCAGGACUUAACCUCCUGUAGAGUCGGGACGUCGUUUCCUAUGAGUAAUAUGUCGUCGACAUACAAAACAAGGAAGCUUACUAUACUCCCAUUGGCUUUGACAUAUACACACGAUUCAUCUUCGCUUCGUACAAAUCCAAACUCUUUGACUUUCUCAUCGAAGAAAAUAUUCCACCAGCGAGACGCUUGCUUAAGUCCAUAAAUGGACUUCUCAAGCUCACACACUCUAUUCGGAUGCUUCGGAUCGACAAAACCCUCUGGCUAAGCCAUGUAAACAUCCUCAGCCAACUUUCCGUUAAGGAAAGCGGUCUUGACAUCCAUUUGCCAAAUCUCAUAAUCAUGAAAUGCGGCAAUUGCUAGCAUCACUCUAAUAGAUUUAAUCUUCGCAACUGGUGAGAAGGUCUCAUCAUAGUCAACUCCAGGAGUUUGAGUAAAGCCCUUCGCAACCAAUCGUGCUUUAUAUGUGUGUACGUUUCCAUCCACGUCGGUCUUCUUUUUGAAGAUCCAUUUGCACCCAACGGUCUUAUGUCCAGGCACAUUAUCAACCAAAUUCCAAACAUGGUUGUCAAACAUGGACUGGAUCUCGCUGUCCAUCGCCUAUUUCCAUUUUACAGACUCCAGGCCUGCCAUGACUUCCUUAUAGCUAUUAGCUUCAUCAAGAUUUAUUAGUGUACCAUCACUAAUAUACGUGUCCCCUUCGGUAGUAAUAUGAUAACCAUAAAACUGGGGUUGAAUUCUAACUCUUUUAGAACGUCUAAGAGGUAAGGACUCGUCAAUCGGUUCAACCGGAGUUUCCUCCUCGGGUUGAGUGCCAGCGGUAGAGGUUCCUUCAUCUAUCGACUCUUGAAUCUCUUCAAGCUCGAUUUGCCUCCAACUGUCUCCUUGGCUUAUGAGUUCUCGUUGUCGGAAAACUCCUCUCCUCGCAACGAAGACAACAUUGUCCUUCAGUCUAUAGAAGAGAUAUCUAAAGGAUUUCUGCGGGUAGACGAUGAAAAUACAUCGCUCACUACGAGGUUUUAGCUUGUCGUGAGUAUCUCGUCUUACGAAAGUCUCGCAACCCCAAACCUUGAUAUGUGCCAACGUGGGAGCUUUCCCUGUCCACAUCUCGUGAGGUGUUUUGGCAACCUUCUUAGUAGGGACUCGGUUAAGGAUAUGAGCGGCAGUCUCUAAGGCAUACCCCCAAAAAGAGAUAGGUAGUGAAGCACGACUCAUCAUAGAGCGAACCAUAUCCAAUAAGGUUCGAUAUUAUGCGUUUGCCACACCAUUCAACUGCGGUGUCCUAGGUGGCAUCAAUUGUGAAACUAUUCCACACUCCUUGAGAUAAUCGUGGAAUUUUAGACUUAGGUACUCUCCUUCUCGAUCGGAUUGAAGCAUCUUGAUUUUCCUGCCCAAUUGAUUCUCCACUUCAUUCUUAAACUCUUUGAACUUUUCAAAUGUUUCUGACUUUUGCUUGAUUAAGUAGAUAUACCCAUAUCUACUAUAGUCAUCGGUAAAAGUCACAUAGAAGCGGUUCCCAUCCUUCGUGGUUGAUCUAAACGGUCCACAUACAUCGGUAUGUAUUAGGUCCAAUAGACCCUCACCCCUUUCACAUGUACUCGUGAAGGGUGACUUAGUCAUCUUUCCAAGUAAACAAGACUCGCAUGUGUCAUCUUCCCUAAGGUCGAAUGACUCCAACACUCCAUCCUUUUGGAGUUGGGCUAUGCGUUUCUUGUUGACAUGUCCAAGACGACAAUGCCACAAGGAUGCUUUAUCCAUACUAGUGGAAGAAUCUAUAUUCAAAACAUCAUUUCCUAAGUUAUCAACAAUCAUAACAGUUUCAUAAAUUCCAUUACAUGGUAUAGCUUCAAAGUAAAAGACACCAUUUAGAUAAGCCAAAAUAGAACCAUUCUCAUUAUUAAAAGAAAAUCUAAAACCUUGUCUAAAUAAACCAUGAAAUGAAAUGAUGUUUCUAGCCAUUUCUGGCGAAUAGCAACAAUUGUUCAAAUCUAAACAUAAAUUAUUCCUAAGCACUAAAGAAUACACUCCAAUCUUGGUCACAGGCGACGAUCUUCUGUUCCCCAUGAUUAGAUUGAUCCUUCCUUGCUCCACAUCCCUACUUCUUCUUAGUCCCUGCACAUUAGAACAAAUGUGGUAACCACAACCGGUAUCAAGAACCCAAGAAAUAGCAUGAUUAGAAUCGUUAGAUUUAAUUGUGUAUAUACCUGCGAAAGAUGGCUUGAUCUUUCCUUCCUUGAUGGCUUGCAGGUACUCUGGGCAGCUUCUCUUCCAAUGUCCUAUCUUGUGGCAGUGGUGGCACUCUGCCUCCUUAGGGUUAGGGCAGGGCUUAGCAGGAUCAACUUUGGUCCCACUAGAAGAGGCACCAUCUCGGGCUUUAACCUUGCGAUAGUUCUUAGACGAAGCCUUCCUCUUCUUUCCCUUUCCUUGACCAAUAGCCAAGACAGGAGCAGCGGGUGGAUUGGGAGUUGGUGCAACAGACUUGUCCUUGAAGUUGCUCUCAGCGACCCUCAAGAGACCUUGGAGUUUGCUUAGGGUGACCUCUUCUUUGUUCAUGUGGUAGGUCAUCCUAAAUUGAUUGUAACACGGAGGCAAAGAGUGAAGCACCAUGUCGAUCGCCAAGUCUUCCCCAAAGUCAACAUUCAACUUGCGAAGACGAUCGACAUACCUUUGCAUCUUUUGCAGGUGCACGGUAAGAGAUUCUCCAUGACCCAUUUUAGCGGAAAUCAUGUUAGUGAAAAUCUCGUAACGCUUUUGCCUUGUGUUCUGGUGGUAUCUCUCCAACAAGUCUUGGUGCAUUUCAUAUGGAUACAUGUCCUCAUAGGACUUUUGGAAUUCGGCAUUGAUGGUGGCUAUCAUGAUGCAAUGUACCUUCGUUGCAUCACGCUCGUGAGUUUCAAAAGCGGUCAUUUCAGCCGGAGUAGCGAUUUCAGAGUGGAUUUUCUCGAGCAUCUCAUCAAGGAUAUAAUCCUUGUCCUCAUAGCGAGCAAUUGUGAAAAUGUAUCUUAUCCAUUCGCUAAAGUUCGUCCCAUCGAAAGUUACCUUUUGACAAAGGCUCAUCAAUGUGAAUGAACUAGCAGCAGCGUUGUUUGCGUUCGACAUCUACAAAUAGAAAGGACAAAGAUAGAUUAGAAUAUGAAUCCCUAAUUAUCACCCAAUAAGAAAAAUUAGGGCUAGGAUCCAACAAUAACAUUUACAUAUUAGAAAAGGGAUGCCGUAAUCUAACAUGCAAACAAUUUGAAGGUAAGUGAAUGACGAUUCACUAAUUCUCCACCACAAAACAUAACUUUAAGUUCUAAAUGUAUUGAGAAUUCCUAGGUUUGGAUGAGAUUCAUUGAAACUUUUCAAUGGCAUGUUUAAAUCUCGAUAUGCCCCUCUCGUUUAUGACUGGGAUACCGAGGAUCACAAAGUGGGUGUGAAUUACCAUGCAAAUUUACAUGGUGCCUUCAUUGUAACGAUCACCUAUUCGAUGUGNNNNNNNNNNNNNNNNNNNNNNNNNNNNNNNNNNNNNNNNNNNNNNNNNNNNNNNNNNNNNNNNNNNNNNNNNNNNNNNNNNNNNNNNNNNNNNNNNNNNNNNNNNNNNNNNNNNNNNNNNNNNNNNNNNNNNNNNNNNNNNNNNNNNNNNNNNNNNNNNNNNNNNNNNNNNNNNNNNNNNNNNNNNNNNNNNNNNNNNNNNNNNNNNNNNNNNNNNNNNNNNNNNNNNNNNNNNNNNNNNNNNNNNNNNNNNNNNNNNNNNNNNNNNNNNNNNNNNNNNNNNNNNNNNNNNNNNNNNNNNNNNNNNNNNNNNNNNNNNNNNNNNNNNNNNNNNNNNNNNNNNNNNNNNNNNNNNNNNNNNNNNNNNNNNNNNNNNNNNNNNNNNNNNNNNNNNNNNNNNNNNNNNNNNNNNNNNNNNNNNNNNNNNNNNNNNNNNNNNNNNNNNNNNNNNNNNNNNNNNNNNNNNNNNNNNNNNNNNNNNNNNNNNNNNNNNNNNNNNNNNNNNNNNNNNNNNNNNNNNNNNNNNNNNNNNNNNNNNNNNNNNNNNNNNNNNNNNNNNNNNNNNNNNNNNNNNNNNNNNNNNNNNNNNNNNNNNNNNNNNNNNNNNNNNNNNNNNNNNNNNNNNNNNNNNNNNNNNNNNNNNNNNNNNNNNNNNNNNNNNNNNNNNNNNNNNNNNNNNNNNNNNNNNNNNNNNNNNNNNNNNNNNNNNNNNNNNNNNNNNNNNNNNNNNNNNNNNNNNNNNNNNNNNNNNNNNNNNNNNNNNNNNNNNNNNNNNNNNNNNNNNNNNNNNNNNNNNNNNNUUCUGACGCUCGAACUCGCCGAGUACCCAGAUGGACUCGCCGAGUUGAGCCUACUCGCCGAGUACCACCAUGGGGCUCGCCGAGUUCAUCAGCCAGAGGACAAAAAAAAUGAUUUUUUCAGCAACAAACAAGCAAUCAAAGUAUGAAUUCAAUAGAAACCAAUCUAGGCUCUGAUACCACUGAUGGGUUUUAGCCAUAUGAACAUCCCUAUGUGCACAUGCAACCCUAAUGCUUGGAUCUAGGUUUCUCUAAUUGAACAUACAUUGAAUCCAAGACUUCUAAUGACUAAUAGACUAUAAUAACAAUAUGAAAUCAUAGAUUAGAAGUUUACCUUGAAUUACUUGCUUGAUCUUCUUGUCCUUGAGGCUUUAGAGUCACAAUUGUCACUCCUCUAAUGGGUUACAAACACCAAAUAGCAAGAAGAUGAUUUAGGAGAGAGGAGAGGGGAGGAGGAAUUCGGCCAGGGUUUCUUUAGAGACAUGUGUGUCGAAUUCCCUCAACCCAUAGGGUCUAUUUAUACUAGUAAGGCUCCUAGGGUUUCACCCUUAAACCUUAAUUGGAUAACUUAAGCCCUAAGCAAUCCAAAUCCUUUCCAUGAUAAGCCUUGGACGAAAUCUAAGCGCAUCCAAAGCCCUAGAAUUCGUCCCCCCUUAUCCUUAAAGGAUUUAUAGCCCAAAGUCAAACUAUCAAACAAUUGACAGUUUAUACCCCUUUAUUUAACUAAUCUCUUUAAGUCACCAAAUUAAUUCCAAAUUAAUUUAUGACUUAUAUUAAUCAAAAAACAAUAUUAUUACUCCUAAUAUUAUUCUUAUAAUAUAUUAAUAAUAUUCCUUCUCUCAUUAUAAAUCAUCCUGUCAAGUUGCUAUGGUGAAGGCAACCCAAAAGGACCAUGCUUAACCGGGUCAAAUACUUGCCUUAUAUAGUUGCAGCCUUAGACACUAUUCCAACAAGAGCUUCCCUACCAAACUUGUUAACAAAGUCCCUAAGUCGUUACUUAGGAUCCUGAACCACCCAAUAGAGAUCACUAGUGAUCUUCUUGAAGGUUCUGCUACAAGAAAACUAGUUAUUGAAAAUAUUGAUUAAGUAUCCAAAUGAUGUAAUAGAAUAGGGAGAAAUAUUUAGCAUCCAUUUAAGAGCUGAUCCUGUAAGGGUUGAACCAAAGCCUUUGCAUAGGUAAGCUUCCUUCAAGUACAAUGGGAUAGAAAUGAUCUCCAUCCUUUCUCGGUAUUGUGGUACAUGGUCUUCAUGAUCCGCAGUUCCAUCGUACGACUUCAUGCUAAGAGUUUGGAAGUGCUUAGGAACUUCGGUAUCAGCUAUCGCAGGAGAAAAUAUCGAGAUCCUGUGACUUGUUGGAGACGCUUCUGGUAUGGGUUGAACUAUACCUGGUACGCUUGAGAUCAUUUGUCUCAACUGUUGAAGUUCCCUAGCCAUCUUUGGACUUAUUCCUGCAUCAACAUUUGUAGAGUUAGUAUUAUUAAUAAUGUUGUUUAAGAAGUUACUAGAAUCAAGGUUUCUAGGAGUAUUGAAAGGCUCAUUGAGAUCAUUGAUCGUAGAUGCUCGAUUGUUCUUGGUUGUCCCUAAGGGUGACAAAAUAGUAGCAGGAGUUGUGUUCCCCUGGUGAUUUCCUAAGGAUCCUGUAUUAUCGAAGUUUAGGAUCCUUGGUUGUACAACUGCGGGCGUAGUUUCCUGGGAUCUCUGAAAUCCCACCUUCAUCCUUUCCAGUUCUCUAAGGAGUGAUAAAUUUUGCUCUUGUUGCUGGUUCAUCUGUUGCAUCAUUUUCCUCAUCAUAGCAAAGAGUUCUAUAGUAGUGACCGAAGUAGUCGGAUCUUGGAGUCAUGAAGAUUCCAAACUUCCUUGGUUAGUGACUGGAGGGGUGUUUUUCAUGGAAGUUUCAGGCACUUUCCUCUGACCAAGGGGUCCACUCAGAGGAGGUGGUGGAUUUUUCGUUGAAAUGGAAGGAGUGGAGGAUGAAGAAAGGCUCGGUUGUGUAGACAUGAUUAUCGAUGAUUUUGAACACCACAUCCCCGCGGUGGACGCAAAAUUUUUUUAGUAAAAAAUUACACAAGUAUUGAUCAACCAAAUUGAAUGAGAGGGUGUGAUGUUCAAAUUAUGAAAUUGAUGAAAGUAAAGAGUAUGACAUGAUUGUUUACAAGGAAAGCCCUUGAUCCUUGCGAAUAUCUUCAACACAAAACCUUGGGAGGUGAUAAUGAUCACCUUCCUUGAUAAUUUUAUUAAUAUAAAACGAUGAUUACAGGGAGUAUUUCAGUAAGAACAAGUGAAACAAAAGUAUGUAGAGUAAGCUAAGAGUAAGCAGUGUGUGUCAUGUGUGAGAUACAUGUGUCAAUUUAUAUUCUAAGCUAGCUAAAAAGAUGUAUGAUAUUCCUGGGAUCCUUUAUGACCAGCUUUGUGAAUGUUGUUUGACUUGGUAUUUUGAGUCUUUAGCGUAGUUGAGACGAAACCCUGUUGAGAAUAAGUCUUCUCUUGACUAUUUUUGCACAUAUGUUAGUUAUGAACCAAAUAUAACCAUUAUAAAUAUUAGUAAAUAAUAAUAACGGUAAUAUACGUGAUCUGCGAUAGUUGAGGAUCCUGAAUAUCUGAUGAGGUUUUGAGGAUCUUGAAUGCUUUGAGGAUCCUGGCCCUAACAAAUGUGAUGUUCGGUUCACCUCCUGUUUUUAGCAGAAGAUCCACGAGGAACUAGGCACGAGGUUGCAUUUCAGCGCAACUUAUCAUUUGCAGACUAAUGGUUAGAGCGAGCAGAAUUCUCUUACAAUAACAAUUAUCACUCCAACAUUCGUGCUCCGCCUUUUGAGCUGUUAUAUUGGCAGAGAUGUCACACCCCGCUUUGCUAGGGCGAGGUUGGUCAUAGGGUAAUGGGGCGGACCGAAGUGGUCCUUCAGAAUAUGGAGAUGAUUCAGCAGAAGUGGCAGAGAUUACAGACUACUCAUAGUUGACAGAAGAGCUAUGCCGACCGGUGCCGAUCCGAGUUGGAGUUUCAAGUCAUCGACAUGGUGUUACUGAAGGUCUCACCUUGGAAAGGUGUGAUUCGCUUCAGGAAGAGGGGGAAGUUGGGACCCCAAUAUAUUGGGACAUUUCAAGUGAUCGCCAAGGUUGGCAAGCUUGCUUACAGAUUGGAUCUUCCGGAGGAGCUCAGUCAAAUUCACAUCACUUUCCAUGUUUCGUAAUUGCGGAAGUGCAUGUUAGAUGAGGAUGCAGCGGUUUCUUUAGAUAAUAUACAAGUUGAUGAGUGCCUGAAUUAUGUUGAGAGGUUGUUGGCCAAUCUGGAAAGAAAGAUGAAGGUUUUGGACAACAAGGAGAUACCUUUGGUAAAGUUAUGGUGGCAGCACCGGAAGGGCUCCGAAUGGACCCGGGAGCCAGAGGCGGAGAUGCGAGAGCAUUAUCCCGAGUUAUUUAUCGUAGAAGACUUUGAGUACGAAUUUUAGUUCAAGUGCGGGAGAAUUGUAAGAUCCCGACUUUUAGGUAUGGAAUUAUUCCGAAUUAUGCAUGUCCUUCCCUUGGAACACGGUGUUGGCUUUUGUAUACUAAAACAUCCUAUGGUGAACAUACAACCCUAAAUACCUUGGAUCUAUGUUUUCACAAAUUAUACCUGAAUAUGGUUUCCAAGGCAUUAAACCUAUAACUAGCAUGCAAAUUGACAUAAACAAUACAAGAUACUAGUUAGAGUAACAUACCUUUUAUGUGGCUUGAAGUCAUGAUGUAUUUAGUGUUGCUAGAAAGACUUUGGCCUUUAAGAACUUAGUGCCCCAAGUGUUGUACCUCAAAUGGAAUCACAACUCACCUAGGACAAAGGUGACUCUUGAGAGAGAAUUACAUGCACCAAAACACCUCCAUAUUUCUCUAAGAAAAGAAGCACAUAUUUUUGGACAUGAACUAAAAUAUUUACAUGAAGGAUUCCAAUGGUCAUGGGUAUAACCCAAAUCCAUAUCCAUGGGUUUUAUAAUCCAUGGUUCAUGUGGCCCAACUCUUUAUGUAUGCAUACAUAAACUUGGUCCAACAUGGAUCAUAAGCCCAACGCAUAUAAAUUUAACUAAUUACCAUAAUUAGUCCCCAUAGAUUUAAUUAGUCUCUUUUGAUAACUAAAUUAAUUCCAAAUUAAUUUUUGAUCAAUACUAAUUAAAACAUACGAUUUUAUAUUAAUAUAUUAUAGCUUAUAAUAUAUUAACAAAUCAUAUAUAACCUUCUCUAAAGAGUCCAUCCUAACAAAUUGUCCUGGUGUUAUGCAACCCAAAUGGACCAUGCUACUCUCGAGUCGAGUACAUACCAAUAAUAGUUAUGGGCUCAUACAUUUAAUCCAACAGUCUCCCACUUGUAUAAGUCUAAAACUAUUAUUGCAAGUACGGGUCAAAAAUCCCGACCAUCAAUCAUAGCUCUUAAAAUCCGUUGUUGAACUCUGACCUAGUCAAUGACGUGUCCAUUAUAUAAGGGAUCAUAUAUUCCUCCAUCCUAGAUAUCAUAUGGAAUAAGACAGGGAUUAUAAUCAUACUCUUUGUCCAUCUGUUGUUUCACGAUUUGCGAUUUGUGACGACCGACUAGUUGAACAAAUCAAAUCAGUCCAGGCCCGGCCGAGCACUUACGGUUGUCAUCACCAAAUCAAUGAGGAGCCUACAGAUAUCGUUUUUACCCCUCUAAGGGUAAAAGGAAUGGAUAGACUUUGACUCAUAUGCUUGCUCUAUUUACGUACCAAAUCACACACAACAAUGCGUUUUAUAACACCAAGUUACUGGUGCGUUUUCACAUUAUUAAUGUGCAACCGAUUUGUAGACUGCAACUCAUAUCUCUUCGUUUGAAGAAUAUGAGAUAUUAUCGUCGCAUGAUGACUCGUGAUAAAAUCCACGAAGUGAGUCAAAUGAGCGUGGGUUUUAUCCAAAACUCGAAUCUUAUUCCAGGAGCACUCAUGAAUACUGCAGCUAUGUCUAGGCCACCUAGACAAACUACAAACCCAUUCAUGACAGUCUUGCCUCAAUACCUAAUUCAAAAGUAUGAUUGAUUGUGGAUGGUUUGAAUAACCUAGUUAUUCGGGAAGUCAAAACGUGAAAAGUGAAACACAAUAAUAACACUAAUCCCAUAUAGCCUAAACACCUUUGAGUCAUAUUGAUUACUUAUUAUUCAUUGUAUAAUGUUUCGGAUAAUCAACUUAAUACUUGAAUUAAACAAUAGUCAUGCCAUGCUCCAAGCAUGCACAUUAUGUUUAUUUGUGGUCUUUCCUUUGUGAAAUAGAUCAAUUGAUAACAUUUCAGUGAUGUUCAUUUCACAACUCAAAAUCCCAAUGCUAAAUGUAUGAAUAUCAAAUUCUUACCAUUUACAUAAAUUUGUUAGAUUCUAAACUUAUAUGCAUUGAUCCUCUUGUAAUGACUAUGCACAAAAGUCAAAAAUACUUGGCAACCGACAUUACAAAGCAUUCCGAAUGGAGAGCAAUUCCACGGAAACGAAGUCUCCCAUUCAAAGUACAUUCCUUUGAACAUCCUUCUUGCAUUAAGUUUUCUAAUCUUACACAGAUUUAAUGAAUAACUUCCACCUAUGGAAACAUUUCCAUAUUUCCAUUUUGACUGUCACUUCUAAACAAGAGGUACCUCUUUUCCGAAUAUGUCAAUAUGGUCCUUCCAAAAUUUACACUAUACUUCCAACUGUCCAUGAGAAACCAAUCUUUGCUAAACCCCAUAUUAUCUUCGACAAUUGCUUAAUCAUUUUAGUCACAUCCAGUUGUAGUACUUUUUCCCUGUUAAUGCCCUAGGCAUUUAGAAAAAUUUAGAACAUAUGAAUAUUACAACACAUGUAAUCGAUCCUUUAUCUGAAGCAUAUGGGACACGAUUCAUGAUGUCUCACAUAAAGACAUGAUACUAGACAUGUCUUUUGCUAUAAUAUUUCUAUUUCUAAAUGCCAUGUUCUCAUAAUUCAGAUUAUGAAAAGUGAUGUCAUAAUCAUAAUCUUAUUUUAGAAUGCAAAUAAUGUAAAAUAAUGUAGUUAUGAUUAAAUUUGAUUAAAAACUCACAAUCUAAGAUUUUAGCAUUGGAAUGAAGUAUAAUUUCCUCUCCCUUAAUUAUAGCAAAACAACUUUUCAACCCCUGCAACUUUGCUAAUUAAAACUUUUGUUUUUCUAUAAUUAACAUUGCUAACCUGUAAUACGAAACAUAAUAAUCAUGCUCCCACUAACUUGAUAAUUAUUAGCAUAACACUUAUGCUCCCACUAGCUUUGUGUAACGCUCGGGUUUCUGGGCUAAGCAUUUUUAGACAAUGUGAUAGUCUAGUUCAACUACUGUUACUCUUUCUGAAGUAAUAAAGAUGAAAUAUUUGAGUACUAUAUGAAUUAUGUGUAUUUAUGUGCUUAUUACUUAUUUAUAAAUGUAUAAUAAAUAAACGAUAAAAAUAAGUGUCAAAAUUAAAGUGUGAGAUAAACCUGAUAUCUUAACAAAAAGUUUUAGUGGUUGAAAAAAGGAUUCUGGAGAUAUAAAGAACACCGAAGUCCAAGUUGUAAUGAAGAAGUUAUGACCCGUCGAAGUUUCGCGAUAGAACGGGCACGAUAUCGGGAAGCAUAAAUAGUGAAUUUAUGAUAGAGCGAGUUUUAGCAUUAACAAUUUAAACAAAAAGUCAUAGAAUACGUUAAACCAAGUGCGUCCAUAAAAAGAACGCCCAAAUCUGACUUUGUAUGAGGAAGUUAUGCUUUUUCGAAGUUUCGGCUUAGCAAUGUACAACCCUAAACUUGAAUGUUAGAUCGAGCGGUUUUUGGCCAACGCGACGUAAAUGAGAAUUGAAGAUCUCAUUAAUAGGAACUCAACAGUAAAAAGACAGACGAAAACAGAGUCCGUAAGUAGAAGUUAUGAAUUUUACGCGGACAUUUAACAAUAUAAUCUCCUCGUACUGUUAAAUUUAAGAUCGGUCGAGAAUUAGCCGACGGAGUCAAAAUGAAAGUUGUAGAUCUUAUUUUUAUCUAUGUGUGGAUAUAAAGAACGUAAAAAACGGAGCUUGUAUGUGAAAGUUACGGAUUUUAGACGUUGGAAGUGUGUUGUGCGAAAAUGGGUGACGUGACAAAAUCUUGGUCAUUUCUUUCUCCCCAAGGCUUGCCACCAGAUGGUGACAUGUGCCACCAAGUUCAGCCAUAUUUCACCCUAUAAAUACCAUCUCUCCCACCUUCAUUUUUUUCACACCUUUACCAUUCUUUCUUCUCUUUACUCUCUCUCUAAAACCUCUCUCUAGCCCCGAAAUUCCCCGAAAAGCCUAGGGAACCUCCCUAGCACGAGGCGGAAGCCCCGGAGUGCUCGACGGCUCCGAGAAGAAGAGCUUUUCGGCUCGGGAACACUGCUCCAAGCAAAGCCUGAUUUUCUAUAAAACCCGCUGUAAGUGAGCUACGCCUACACUAUUUUUAAUACAACUUUUAUUUAAUUAUAGUAAUGUUAUUAGGAACUUAUAAUAAGUACAUGGGAUAUUAUUAUGGGUUAUAUAAGUAUUUUUUAACGCUUAUAUAAUAGUAAUAAUAGCUAGACUAUUAAUUAGUCUCGACGAAUAAUAGACUAAACUCUAGUGGUAAUAAUACUAGGUUUCGUCGAAGGAAAUUAUUUUUAAGAAGCGAAGCGCUCUCUGAGUUCGGAAUCACCACCUUUUCAAGUGAGUGCAUGGUCCCUUUCAUCUUACACAUAGAUAUGAAGUAUUUUAUAUAAACUACGUUCUAUGUGUGUAUAUUAUCUGUAUACUUGUUAUCUAUGAUGGAUGAACGAUUUUAUACAAGUUUUAUAUGAUUUAAAUUGUAUAUGUAUUUUAUAUCUACAAAAAUGUUGGGGUAAAACAUGGGUCAAUGUAUUAGACGAUGUGUGAUAAAUGAUGAGAGGCCUCCAUGUUGUUGUUGUUGAUUCUUUCAUCUAGCGGAGUAUGGAUGAUGACCACGGACUCUUCUAGACAGUCCAGUGGCACACUAGCAGGCUCGCAACCUGUAGGUGUUUGUGAAUGAUGUGUUCACUGGUGUACUCCAUCCCCAACAUGGUUGCCUUAAGAACAUUUAUUGCUGAGGAAUCCUUUUAGCAGUAGUGUCCAUCUCGAUGAUGAUCCUUAGGCUAGGUCCCUUAUGAUAGGUGUUUAGGGACGUAAAGUGAGGAUAACGGGAACGGGUAAUCGGGUUAUUGUUGAUUGAUGAAAUUUAUAAACUUAUUUAUUGUGGGUUGAACCCCCUAUGUGCUCAGCAGGCUCCCAAGCCUAACGCACCCAGUUUCAUGUAUUACAAGUAGUGGCGCUCGAGCAUAGAUGUGAUGUUUUUAGAUGAACGAUUACAGAUAUAUGCCUGUAGAUAUGAUAUAAUGUAUUAAGGCUUAUAUUGUACUGUUUAUGCUUUUGAUCUAUAUCGAACAUUACAUCCCAAGUCUUUUAAUGAAAUACAUUUCUAUGGAAAUGCUUUUGAUAAAUCGUUAUCAUAAAUUGUUUUGGGACAAAUUCCGCAUCACUUUUAUUUAAAAUGUUACUCUGAUUUUCAAACAAUGCAUAAACAAAAUCGGUCUUUUCUGGCCGUGAAAAUGGGGAUGUCACAGUUGGUAUCAAAGCAUUAGUUUAAGCGAACUAGGAAUUUGUAGGAUUUCUAGACUUGAACUUAGAAUGCUACGCGAUUGUUGUGAGGUGUGAGCACUAGCUUAUUUUAGGAAUUAUGCCUAAAAUGCUUUUAUGUGCUAAAUGCUUUGUGACCUAUAUUCUGUUAUUUAUUGGGAUCUAUGGUAUGUUGCCGACCGGAUUUGGAAACCUUAUGUGUUUACGAUUCUAAACGUACGACAACAUGUAAAUGUUUCAGAGUGAUAAGGAUGAUUUAAACGUCUAUCCUAAAUAAAGAUCUAAAUUCACCUUAUUCGGUGUAUAGAUCAAAAUGAAAAGAACCUGCAGUGGAGUUGGGAAUGCAAAUGGGAAUAGGAAUCAACCCCCAGUGAUUCAGCAAAAAAAAAAGGGAGUACAAGCCAUGAUUCGUGCUAUGUUAGCAAAAAAAAGGGAGGAAAUGAGGCAGAUGUUGCACAAAAAUAAGGACAAACCUACUAUGCCCAUUGAGCAACCUGAGCUGAUUCCCGAGCAAUCGGAAAAAGGGAACUACAACUGCCAAGUGAUUCAAGUAGGGACUCAAGGUGAACGAAGGGAUGGCAAGGAAAGGAGAAACGACAAGGAUGGGCAAAUAUACAAGAAUUUUUUGGGUGCGAAACCACCAAGUCUCUCAGGAAGCCCAAAGCCUAUUAAGAUUAUGGAUUGGAUCUCCGAGAUGCAGAUGGUGUUUGAGAGCUGCGACAGUAGCGAGAAAUAGACGACCAUCUUCGCUGUAAGACAACUGAAAACUGGAGUCUUGAGCUGGUGGAAACUAUUGGUGGAUACAAUGUCGCAAGGAGAAGCUCUGAAGAUGUCAUGGAAUGAGUUCUUAGAACAACUGAAGGCGCGGUACUGUUCGGAGAUAGAUCUGAUUGAUCUAAACAAUGAGUUCCAAAACUUGAAGAAGAGGAGAAUGUGCAUCGAUGACUAUGUUGUUGCAUUCACGGAAAAUAUGAAGUUGUUUCCAUACCUAGUGCUAACCGAACUCUCGAAAAUUGAGAAAUUCGCAAAUGGAAUGCCAGCCGACUAUGGCCUAACAGUCAAGAUGGCAACAACUCUGAAAUCAGCUGUUCGAGUGGCUAAGAAUGUAGAGAUCCAGCAGAAAGAAAGGGGUCUGAAGAGGGCUGAGGUUGGUGAGAAAAGGAAAUUUGACGGAUCCUCAAGGUCCGGAAAGAAGAGUAAAUUCUCGAAAUCUAGUUCGAGAGGAGGAGGAGCCGAAGCAAAAUGGUGCGACAAGUGCAAGAAGAAGCACAAUGGGAAAUGUGACGGAGGAGUCACUUCUUUCAAGUGUGGAAAGACUGGGUACUAUGCUAACGAAUGCACGUUCACUAAGAACGUCUGUUAUGAGUGCAACGAGGAGGGGCACAUUUCGAGGGAUUGCCCAAAGAAGAAGGAGGCAGGAAGACCCAGCAUUCCACCGAAGCCGAAGGCAUGAGCCUUCCAGAUGACGCUCGAGGCUACGAAGGAGGCAGCAUACAUCACUUCAGGUACCUUUCUUGUAAAUGGUUUGCCUGACAAUAUACUAUUUGAUUUCGGAGCAAACUACUCCUUUGUGUCGCAUAAAUUUGGUGGGAAAUUAGCAUUGCCUAUAGAAAAACUUGAUAAUGCCCUGAUUGUAGAAGUUGUCAGUGGCAAAUUUGUACCUGUUAGUGAUCGUAUUAGGAAUGUCGUCAUCGACCUAAACGGAAAAGAAUUCCACGAGGAGCUAUUACCCAUAGAGUUAAAUGGUUUCGAUAUCGUUUUGGGAAUGGAUUGGCUUAGCACCAACGAUGCUGAGAUAUUAUGCCAAAAUUGUUGGAUAAGGUGUCUAAGUCCAUAACUAUUUCGGGCCUGUACUUGACCCGACCCGGCAUGGUCCAUUUGGGUUGCAUGGCACCAUGCAAUUGGAUAGACUAAAUGAGAGAGAUAACACUUGGAGAUUAUUAAUAUAUUAUAAGUUCUAAUAUAUUAAUAAUAUUAUUUGAUUAGUUGAUCAAAGAAUUAAUUUGGAAUUAAUUAAGUGAUCAAAGGAUAACUAAUUAAAUAUAUGGGUUGAUUGUGUAAAUCAUCCAUAUCUUGUAUAGUGGGCUAAGAGGCUCCAUGGAUUAUCAAGUUGGGUUCUACCCAUAGGAUGCUCCAUGGAUGCUCCAUGGGAGUUACAAACCCAUGGGUCAUGGAAAUGAAGAGUCAUGACACAUUAGGGUUUACAUGGUGUAACCCUAGAUGUGUCAACACUAUAUAAGAAGCAUAUUCUCCACCAAAAUCGGCACUACUAAGAAACUAGAGGGCUUGGCCGAUUUUUGAGAAGUGUGUGUUAUCUCAAGAGUCUUUCCAAGAGCAUUUGGUGUUGUGUGAAGCAUUUGAGGCAUCACACUUGGGGUGCUAGGCUCACAAGGUUUCAAGGAACACAAGCAACAACAAGGUAAGUUAUUCUAUCUAUGAUUCAAGUUAAAAUUGUUCCCCAUGUAUGCUAGAUAGGAAUAUAACCUUGGAAUUCAACUUUGCAUGAUAAUUAGACAAACAUAGAUCCAAGGUUAUUAGGGUUGCAUGUACACUUAGGAAGUGUUAGAAUGCUCAAAACCCAUCAGUGGUAUCAGAGCCUAGGCUUGUUUGUUUGUUAUUUGUGCUUAAAAGUUGAAGAAAGUCGAAAAUCUUGCUGUCUGACUGAUGGACUCGGCGAGUCCAUGGGGAGGACUCGACGAGUUCAUGUGUAUCUUCAACCUACUCGGCGAGUAGGUUUAUGCACUCGGCGAGUAGGGUCGACAGAGUGCAGAAUUUCGACUUGUGUUGCUGGAAAUGGAUUAGAAUCAUUACCCUAAAAUGUUUUGGUACUUGAAAACUUAUUUUAGAAGGUGUAAUGUCUUUUCUAACUCAUUUACAACAACUAGUUAUCAAAAUUACAAAGAUUAAAUGUGAUUUUGAUUCUUGAAAGUGUUCAUAUUCAUAUUCUUGUUCUUAUGAUGUUUAGAUGAUCAUAGGAAUUAUUUGUAACCUAUGUGGUAGAUUAAUUCAUGAUCAUAAUGUGUUUUAAUGGAGUCCAUAACUUGUCCUCAAGUUAUGGAAAACCAAAAGUCUCUUGGAUUAAAAACCAUUAAAAGAACACAAGAGUUAGGAAAAAUGAAAAGUCCUCAUUUUAUUACUCUAUUAAACUCAUAAGUUACAAGAAAUGAAAAGUUUUGAAAGUUUACAAAACUUGCCCUCAAGUUUUGGAACAAGUAAAGUUAAGUUAAAACUUUAGUUCCAACCCCUAGAAUUUUAAAAGUUAAAAUUCAACCCUUAUACUUAUAUUAUUAUGAUUUAAUAAUUAUAUAUAUAUGUAUAAGAACAAAGUCGUCUUACCGCUAGUACGCCUCAUUCACGAAGCCGGUCUAUAAGGUGGGUAUAAGGUUGUUGCCUAUAAAAUGGUGACUUAAUGGGUGUCCACUCUCACCCACCGCUUGCUUGAUCGGUGGAGGGUCGUUAGCCGAACGGGUAAGACAAGGACUUAUUAAUUCUCAUUCAAAGUAUGAUGAAUAUUAUAAAGUAACUAAAUGUUUUAUUAAAUUCCCAAUCUUAGUUACUUUAGGAAAAAUGUGAAUAAGGUGCUAUUCCAUGAAAUUACACUUUACACUUUGAUUAAGUCGUUGGUGGAGCGUGUGUGGUUAACCGGCACACUAACUUGGACUUAACAAGGUAGGUAAAGGGUGACUUAGGGUUUAUUAUAGUAUCGAUGGAGCGUGUGUGGUUAACCGGCACAUCGAUUGAGUGAUAAACUUUAAGGGUACCAAGUGAUUUGCAUGGUUACUUCACACCUCGUUUUGUGAUCCUCGGUAUCCCAGUCACAAAACUUGGAGGGCACACUCGAGAUUGAAACAUGCCUUUGAAAAGUUCAUUGAAUCUCAAAGAAUCUAGGAAUUUCUAAGAACCAUUCAAAAACCUAAUACUAAAAUAUUGCGGUUUUCGUGGUGGAAAUUGGUGAAUCGUCAUUCACCUACCUUUCAAAUAUGAUAUAGCUUAGAUUACGGCAUACCUCUUCUAAGUUAUAUUAUAUUGUGAUUGGAUCCUAGCCUUAAUAUUACAUUUGGGUGUUUUAUUAAGGACUCUCUUAUAUCUAAACUAAUCUUGUCCUCUUUCCUUCAGAUGUCUUUCAACAAUGCUUCUGGCUCUAAUCCUAAUGGCUCCUUUACCCUUAUGAACUUGUGUGGGAAAGUCACCUUUGAUGGAUCCAACUUCAAUGAGUGGAUCAGAAACAUCAGGAUGAUUACCCGCUACGAGGACAAAGAAUAUGUCCUUGACAAGGAGCUUAAGGAGAUUGAUGAGUCCACUGCAACUCCUCAGGAGAUCGCUGAAUUUCGGGCACAUGAAAGGGAUGCUACGAAAGUGGCUUGCAUCAUGAUGGCCACGAUGACAGCGGAACUCCAAAAGUCUUAUGAGGAUUUCUACCCUUAUGACAUGCACCAAGAUUUGAUGGAAAGAUACCAUCAAAGUGCAAGACAAGAGAGGUAUGAAAUCAUCUGCUCCAUGAUAACAACCAUGAUGAAGGACGGGGAAUCCGUCACGAGCCACAUGCAGAAAAUGCAAAGGUAUGUGGAUCGUUUGCUGAAGCUUAAUGUGAACUUCCCGGAGGAUCUUGCAAUAGAUAUUAUUUUGCAUUCCUUACCAUCGUGCUAUGAUCAAUUCCGCAUGACAUAUCACAUGAACAAGGAAGAAGUCACCCUCAGCAAACUUCAGGGACUUCUCAAGACCGCAGAAACAGGUCUUAAGGGGAAGUCGGUUGCUAUCACUCCUACUCAAAACUCUACUCCGGUUUUGGCAAUCGGGAAAAGUCGAGGGAGGAAGAGAAAGAGCUCUUCUAAGGGUACCAAGGCUCGGACCCUUGAUGGCUCUUCUUCAAGUGGAACCAAGAAAGGUUUCGUUACUCCUUCUUCUGACCCAAAAGAGGCUGAAUGCUUCUAUUGCCAUGAAAAAGCUCAUUGGAAGCGGAACUGCCCAAAAUACCAGCAAGAUGUGAAGGAUGGGAAAGUUAAACCCAACCAUGCAGGUAUUUACACUAUCAUUUCUAAUAACUCACCCCAUUCUAAUUCUUGGGUCCUUGAUACCGGGUGUGGUAUUCACAUUUGUUGUGACUUGCAGGGACUAAGAAGAAGUGAGGAUGUGGAGCAAGGAAGGAUAAACUUGAUCAUGGGGAAUAGGAAAGCUAUACCUGUUACCAAGAUUGGAGUUUAUACUUUAUCGCUAAGUAGUGGGUUUAGUUUAGAUUUGAAUAAGUGUUGUUAUUCGCCAGGAAUGGCAAGAAAUAUUAUUUCCUUUCAUGCUUUGUACAAACAAGGGUUUACCUUUUCAUUUAAUAAUGAAGUUGGUUCUAUAGAUGUUUUCUAUAAUAAUGUCUUUUAUUUUAAAGCAUUACCUUGUGAUGGUGUGUAUGAAGCUGUAUCUGUUGUAGAUAACUUGGGAAAUAAUGUUUUGUGUAUUGAUUCUACUAAUAAUAACUUGGAUAAAGCAUCUUUAUGGCAUUGUCGUCUUGGACAUAUAAGCAAGAAACGCAUAGGCCAACUCCAAAAGGAUGGAGUCUUGGAGUCGUUUGACCUAAAGUCAGAUGAUAGUUGCGAAUCAUGCUUACUUGGAAAAAUGACAAAGUCACCCUUCACAGGUUCGUGUGAGAGGGGUGAAGGUUUGUUGGACCUUAUACACACGGAUGUGUGUGGACCAUUCAAACAUGCCACAAGGGAUGCUAAUCGUUAUUAUUUGACUUUUACUGAUGAUUAUAGUAGAUAUGGAUAUGUCUACUUGAUCAAGCAUAAGUCAGAGACUUUCGAGAGGUUUAAGGAAUUUAAACAGGAAGUCGAGAAUCAAUUGGGCAGGAACAUUAAGAUGCUUCGAUCCGAUCGUGGUGGUGAGUAUCUUAGUUCAGAGUUCCUCGACUAUCUAAGGGAAUGUGGGAUAGUCUCACAAUUGACACCUCCCAGGACACCACAGUUGAAUGGUGUGGCUGAGAGGCGUAAUCGAACCUUGUUAGAUAUGGUUCGUUCCAUGAUGAGUCGAGCUACGCUACCAAUCUCAUUCUGGGGGUAUGCCUUAGAGACUGCCGCCCAUAUUCUUAAUCUAGUCCCUACAAAGAAAGUUGCCAAAACUCCUCACGAGAUGUGGACUGGUAAAGUACCUAAACUAGACCACAUCAAGAUUUGGGGUUGCGAGGCUUUCGUGAGACGCGAGACUCAUGAUAAGCUCGAACCUCGAAGCGAGAGGUGUAUUUUCAUCGGUUACCCACAGCGAUCCUUUGGUUACCUCUUCUACAGACCUAGUGACAAUGUGGUCUUUGUAGCAAGAAGAGGAGUCUUUCGAGAAAGAGAGUUUAUAAGCCAAGGAGACAGUGGGAGGCAAAUUGAUCUUGAAGAAAUUCAAGAAUCAAGCGGUGAAGGAACUUCAAACUCUAGCCCUCAACUUGAGGAGGAAACUCCUGUUGAGCCAAUUGACAAAUCUGUACCUCUGAGACGUUCCACGAGAGUUAGGAGUGCACCUGAGCAUUACUAUGGAUUCCAUAUUACUGCAGAAGGUGAGACACUUAUUAGUGAUGAGACACUAGUAAGUCAAGAUGACCCUAACAGCUACGAGGAAGCCAUGGCAGGCCCCGAGUCUGCUAAAUGGAAAGAGGCUAUGGAUAGCGAGAUACAAUCCAUGUAUGACAAUCAAGUUUGGAACUUGGUUGAAAAUGUACCAGGUCGUAAGACAGUAGGGUGCAAAUGGGUCUUCAAGAAGAAGACCGACAUGGAUGGUAAAGUACACACUUAUAAGGCUAGACUGGUUGCAAAGGGCUUCUCUCAAAUUCCUGGAGUGGAUUAUGAUGAGACCUUUUCUCCGGUAGCCAAGAUUAAGUCUAUUCGGGUUCUGUUAGCCAUAGCUGCAUUUCAUGACUAUGAAAUAUGGCAGAUGGAUGUCAAAACCGCUUUCCUUAAUGGAAAGUUGGCUGAAGAUGUUUACAUGAGUCAGCCAGAGGGUUUUGUCAGCAACGAGUACCCUAAUAGAGUGUGUAAGCUUGAGAAAUCCAUUUAUGGAUUGAAGCAAGCACCUCGCAGAUGGAAUCUUUGCUUUGAUGAAAAGGUCAAGGAAUUUGGCUUUUCUAGGAGUGAAGAUGAAUCUUGUGUGUAUGUCAAGGCUAGUGGGAGUAUAGUUAGCUUUUUGGUAUUGUAUGUGGAUGACAUACUACUCAUAGGAAACGACAUUCCAACCCUGCAGGAAGUAAAGUCCUGGCUUGGGAAGUGUUUCGCUAUGAAGGACCUUGGUGAAGCUGCCUAUAUUCUAGGGAUAAGAAUCUUGAGAGAUCGGAGUAAAAGACUAAUUGGACUUAGUCAGAGUACCUACUUGGAUAAGGUGCUGAAGAGAUUCAGCAUGCAGGAUUCCAAGAAAGGAGAGUUACCCAUCCAGAGUAACACCAGAUUGAGUAAGACACAAAGCCCUAGCACUGAGGCUGAGAUAGCAGAAAUGAGUCGAACACCUUACGCUUCGGCUGUAGGAUCGAUCAUGUAUGCUAUGACGUGUACUCGACCCGAUGUAGCUUUUGCCUUGAGCAUGGUUAGCAGGUAUCAGGCGAACCCUGGCAAGGCACACUGGACUGCGGUAAAGAAUAUCCUCAAGUACCUACGGAGGACUAAGGACUGGGUCCUUACCCUCGGUGGGAGUGAUGACUUGAGAGUUGUAGGGUAUAGUGAUGCUAGCUUCCAGACUGAUAGGGAUAAUUUCCGCUCUCAGUCGGGCUGGGUCUUUACCCUAAACGGAGGAGCAAUUUCUUGGAAGAGUUCCAAGCAAGAGACAGUGGCAGAUUCUACUUGUGAAUCAGAGUAUAUUGCAGCUAGUGAAGCAGCAAAGGAGGCGAUAUGGCUGAAGAACUUCAUUGGAGACCUUGGAGUUGUACCAGCUAUUAAAGAGCCAAUGGAAAUUUUCUGUGAUAGUGAAAGUGCUGUUGCCUUAGCCAAGGAACCAAGGGAUCAUGGGAGAUCCAGACACAUCGACAGAAAAUACCAUUUCAUUAGACAUCGGAUCGAAGAAGGACUCCUCGUGGCAAAGAGGGUAUCAUCGGAUGAGAACCCAGCAGAUCCCCUCACGAAGGGACUGAGUAGGGUUAAGCAUCUCCAGCAUGCUCGGAGCAUAGGGCUGAAGGAUGAUAUAAGUUUUAGUAGUUAGAUAACCCAGAAAUUUGUAAAGUGUAAUUGACAUUUGAUGAUGAAUAAAAGGUGUUUUAUUUAUGAGUAAAGUGUUGCUAUCUCUUGUCGAUCGUUUACUAUAUUUCUUUUGCAUGUUUUGACUUCCAGAAUAAUUUUGUUUGGUAUAACAUAUUAUUCAAACCUCCACAGUCGGUCAUAUGUUGGAAGUAGAUAUGAAUCAAGACUGUCAUGUUUGGUUGUAGAGGUCUUGGACAAGGCUACAACAAUCAUGAGUGCUCAUAAGUUCUGAGCAUUGGACUCAACCCACGCUCACUGGAAUCACUUCAUGGAAUUCUAUCUCGAGUGAUCGUGAGACGGUAAUAUCAUAUAAGUCUUCAAACCUAGAGAUAUGAUUUGUUACUUACAAGUUGGUUAUGCAUUGACUGUACGAAACCGCAUUGGUAACUCGAUGUUAUAAAACGUACUUUUGUGUGUAAUUCAAUGAGUGGUAGAACAAACAUAUGAGUCGAAGUUUAUCUGUUCCUUCUUGGAUUAGAAGCUGAUAUCUGGGCCCCUCGAUGAUUUUGUUUUGACCCAUGUACCGGGCCCGGUCAGAACUAAGUUGAUGUGUUCAAUUAAGUUCUAUGUCAAACAAAUCGGAAAUCGGGAAACAAAUGCUGGACAAUAAGCAAGACAAUGUUCCAUGUAUUUGUCCGGCUGAUAUCUAGAACGGAGGAUUAUAUGAUCACUUAUCUUAAAUGGCGUACCAUCAUCUUCUCAGUUCCGAGAGACCUUGAAAGAGCUACGAUUGCCGGUCGGUUCCUGAAGUACUAGAGAUAUAGUUAUUAGACUUAUCCAAGUGGGAGACUGUUGGAUAAGGUGUCUAAGUCCAUAACUAUUUCGGGCUUGUACUUGACCCGACCCGGCAUGGUCCAUUUGGGUUGCAUGGCACCAUGCAAUUGGAUAGACUAAAUGAGAGAAAUAACACUUGGAGAUUAUUAAUAUUUUAUAAGUUCUAAAAUAUUAAUAAUAUUUUUUGAUUAGUUGAUCAAAGAAUUAAUUUGGAAUUAAUUAAGUGAUCAAAGGAUAACUAAUUAAAUAUAUGGGUUGAUUGUGUAAAUCAUCCAUAUCUUGUAUAGUGGGCUAAGAGGCUCCAUGGAUUAUCAAGUUGGGUUCUACCCAUAGGAUGCUCCAUGGAUGCUCCAUGGGAGUUACAAACCCAUGGGUCAUGGAAAUGAAGAGUCAUGACACAUUAGGGUUUACAUGGUGUAACCCUAGAUGUGUCAACACUAUAUAAGAAUCAUAUUCUCCACCAAAAUCGGCUACACUAAGAAACUAGAGGGCUUGGCCGAUUUUGAGAAGUGUGUGUUAUCUCAAGAGUCUUUCCAAGAGCAUUUGGUGUUGUGUGAAGCAUUUGAGGCAUCACACUUGGGGUGCUAGGCUCACAAGGUUUCAAGGAACACAAGCAACAACAAGGUAAGUUAUUCUAUCUAUGAUUCAAGUUAAAAUUGUUCCCCAUGUAUGCUAGAUAGGAAUAUAACCUUGGAAUUCAACUUUGCAUGAUAAUUAGACAAACAUAGAUCCAAGGUUAUUAGGGUUGCAUGUACACUUAGGAAGUGUUAGAAUGCUCAAAACCCAUCAAAAAUAAGAUAGUAAGAGUAAACCCAUCUGGAAAAGAGUCAUUUAUGGUGUACGGGGACAAAUGCAGAGUAAAUUUUGGAAUCAUCUCCCUGAUGAAAGCCAUAAUAUGUUUUUCCAAGGGAUGUGCAUCAUACUUGGCAUUCAUAAUCGAUGCUACGAAGGAAAAGAAGGAGGUGCAGAAUAUACCGGUCGUGUGUGAUUUUCCAGAAGUUUUUCCUGAAGAUGUUCUCGGAUUACCACCUGAUAGACAAGUAGAGUUCCGAAUAGACUUGUUACUAGGGACAACACCAAUAGCAAAAGCACCAUACCGAUUAGCACCGACGGAGAUGAAGGAUCUUAUGACGCAACUUCAGGAGCUGUUAGACAACGGUUUCUUUCGACCUAGUUCAUCACCCUGGGGAGCUCCGGUGUUAUUCGUGAGGAAGAAGGAUGGAAGCAUGAGAAUGUGUAUAGACUACCGAGAGCUGAACAAGGAAACGGUGAAGAACAAGUACCUAUUACCGAGGAUUGAUGACCGAUUCGAUCAACUGCAAGGUUCAAGAUAUUUCUCAAAGAUCGAUCUUAGGUCAGGAUAUCAUCAGCUGAAGGUGAGAGAGUCGGGUAUUGAGAAGACUGAAUUCAGAACUAGAUGUGGACACUACGAAUUCUUGGUUAUGUCAUUUAGACUAACCAAUGCUCUAGCAGCAUUCAUGGAUUUGAUGAACAGGGUUUGUAAACCAUUCCUCGAUAAAUCCGUGAUAGUGUUCAUCGUCGACAUUCUGAUCUACUUGAAAAGCCAAGAGGAGCAUGGCAAGCAUCUAUGGGAAGUGUUGGAAGUGCUAAUGAAGGAAAAGCUUUACUAUAAGUUCUCCAAGUGUGAUUUUUGGAUCCGAGAAGUCCAAUUCUUGGGUCAUGUGGUUAACUAAGAAGGGAUAAUGGUUGACCCAACAAAAAUUGAAGCGGUAAUGAAGUGGGAACGUCCAAAGAGUCCGACGGAGAUUCGAAGCUUUCUAGGAUUAAACGGAUAUUACCGACGAUUUAUCCAAGGAUUUGUUGGAUUAAUGUCUAAGUCCAUAACUAUAAUUGGUAAGACUUGACCCGACCCGGCAUGGUCCAUUUGGGUUGCAUGGCAUCAUGCACUUGGAUAGACUAUAAUGAGAGAAAUAAGACACUUAUGGUUAUUAAUAUAUUAUAAGUUCUAGUGUAUUAAUAAUAAGAAUAAUAAGAUUAUUUAAUUAGUAUUGAUCAAGAAUUAAUCUAGGAUUAAUUAAGUGAUCAAAAGAAGACUAAUUAAAUAUAUGGGUUGAUUGUGUAAAUCAUCCAUACUUGUAUAGUGGGCUAAUGCUCCAUGGAUAAUCAAGUUGGGCUAAAACCCAUAGGAUGGUCCAUGGAUGCUCCAUGGUGUAUUUGUACCCAUGGAUCAUGGAAAUGAAAGGCCAUGUCAAUUAGGGUUUACAUGGUGUAACCCUAACUAUAUAAGCAUCUUAUUCUUGACCAAAAUCGGCCACUAGUGUGUGAAAAGAAAGGGCUAGCCGAUUUCAUGAGUUGUAGAAUUCUCUCAAGCUAUUCUAAGUGUUUUGGUGAUUGUGAUUCCAUUUGAGGCUUCCACACUAUUGGGGCUAGGCACUCAAGCUUCAUGAAGACUUUCUACAUCAAAGAGGUAUGUAUUCUAUCUUGUUACACUCAUUGUUUUGUAUGCUAGAUUAGGAUAAUACCUUGGAAGUUCUUAUUUGCAUGUAUAAUAGAGAAAACAUAGAUCCAAGGUAUUUAGGGUUGCAUGUACACUUAGGAGUGUUAGAAUGCUCAAAACCCAACAGUGGUAUCAGAGCCUAGGCUUGUUUUCUUGUUAUACCUGCAAUAGAAGCUGAAAAAACGAAUCUGGUGCUGUCUGGCCAUCAGACUCGGCGAGUCCAUCAGGAGACUCGGCGAGUCCAUGCCUAAAAAGUGAUGAAUUCGAUCCAACUCGCCGAGUUGGUUCAUGCACUCGACGAGUUGGACCCCCAGACAGCAUAUUUUCGAGUUUUUUGGCUAGAAAUGGACUAGGAACAUUACCCUAAGUUGUUUUUGAACUUAUAAACUUGUUUUUGAUGUGGUAAUGUUCAUGCUAAUCCAUUUUCAAAGAUAAUUGUCAAUAGAUUCAUGUUUUGUAUUAGUUUAAGGUUUAGACUAAUUACAUGAAAAAGUUUGAUUUGAAUUAUCUUGUUCUUAUGAGUUGCUUAGAUUAAUAGAAAAGUUGAGUGAAAUAGUUGUUUUCAAUCCAUAUUAAUCUAAGAGUUGAGUAUAAAAUGUGUUUGUGUAACUUGUCCUCAAGUUACAUGAAGAGUCACAUUAAAGACUCAUAAAACUCAUAAAAGUUGGCAAUGGUUACAAAAUGAAGAGUCUUGUGUCAUUGAAUAAUUUUUUAUGACUCCAUAACUUGUCCUCAAGUUAUGGAAGUUCAAGAGUCACUUCAUUAAAGAAAAAUAUGUAACCAUAAUUAAAUCCAUAAGUUAUAAAAUAAAGAAAAAGUUAGUUCUUUUAUUAGUUUAAAGUCUUCCAUAACUUGUCCUCAAGUUAUGGAACUUGAAGAGUUUUUGGAUUAAAACUACUUUAAACACAUAAGUUAUGGAAUUAAUUAGUUUUGAAUAGUUUCAAAACUUGCCCUCAAGUUUUGGAAUUUGAAAAGUUUUCAAGUAUGAAUACUUUAAUUCCAAGUUAGCCCUUAGAAUUUUAAAAGUUAAAAUUCAACCCUUAUACUUUAUAAUAUUAUAAGUUAAUAAUAUAUAUAUGUAUAAGAGUAAAGUCAGUCUUACCGCUAGUACGCCUCAUUCACGAAGCCGGUCUAUAAGGUGGGUAUAAGGUUGUUGCCUAUAAAAUGGCAACUUAAUGGGUGUCCACUCUCACCCACCGCUUGCUUGACUGGUGGAGGGUCGUUAGCCGAACGGGUUUGACAGGACUAGAAUUCUCCCUUCAUUAAAAGUAUUAAUGAUAAUACUAAGUAACUAAACUCUUAAUAAUACCCAAUCUUAGUUACUUAGGAAAAAUGUGAAUAAGGUGCUAAUCCAUGAAAUUACACUUUACACUUUGUCUAAGUCGUUAGUGGAGCGUGUGUGGUUAACCGGCACACUAACUUGGACUUAACAAGGUAGGUAAAGGGUGACUUAAUAUUUAUCAUAGUAUCGAUGGAGCGUGUGUGGUUAACCGGCACAUCGAUUGAGGGGUAAUUUAUUAAGGGUACCAAGUGAUUUGCAUGGUUACUUCACACCUUGUUUUGUGAUCCUCGGCAUCCCAGUCACAAAACCUGAAGGGCACACUCGAGAUUGAAACAUGCCUUUGAAAAGUUCAAUGAAUCUCAAAGAUCUAGGAGUUUCAAAACCAAUUAAAACCUAAUAAUACAUUUCGUUUAUCUUGGUGGAAAUUGGUGAAUCGUCAUUCACCUACCUUCAAAUAUUUUAUAGCUUGGAUUACGGCAUACCUCUUCUAAGUUAUAAAAUAGUUUGUUGGGUCCUAGCCUUAAUAUUUCAUAUUGGGUGUCAUAUUAAGGACUUUAAAUCAACUAUCUUGAAUAUCUCCCAAAAGAUGUCUGGUUUAGACACCUAUGAUCUUCCCAAAUCUCUUGAAACAAGGUUUCCUAAUGAAGAUGAUGUCCCAUGGAUAUCAUACUUCUUCACCUCUUCAAAUUAUUCUCCCUAACCCACAAGUUCUUGAAAAGUUUAAGGUCACUCAGGCCCUAUUGGCAAGGCAAGGUCUAGGUGUGGUCACAUCUUGGAGAUGUAGUCACAUAUUGACAAGCCGGGAGAGUUGGGUGUCAAAGUCUUGAGAAAGUUGGUGGUUCAACCACUUUCUAAGUCACAUAGUGAGUUCCUU